rnacentral:rRNA from 1 species
UACGGAGGGUGCAAGCGUUAUCCGGAUUCACUGGGUUUAAAGGGUGCGUAGGUGGGUUGGUAAGUCAGUGGUGAAAUCCCCGAGCUUAACUUGGGAACUGCCAUUGAUACUAUCAGUCUUGAAUAUUGUGGAGGUUAGCGGAAUAUGUCAUGUAGCGGUGAAAUGCAUAGAUACCAUCCAGAACCCCGAUUGCGUAGGCAGCUGACUAGGCUGGUACUGACACUGAGGCGCGAAAGCCAGGGGAGCAAACGGG